rnacentral:lncRNA from 1 species
UUGUUCAGACCUUGAUGUUUGGUGGAAAGAUGUGUAAGUGAAAAGUGGGGAAAGAAUCAGUUUAAGCUUAUUUUCAAACCACAAUAGACUAGAAUUGAGAGUAGAGUAAGGAUGAGUUCCACUACACUAAACACCCCAAACCAUUGUUAGUAAUUUUCUUCCAAAAUUCUCUCCUAUUUAUUUUUAGCUCUAGUACACCCCUAAACAUUCUGUUUGAGCCAAGAUUGCUGAUUUGAACUCACCUUUAGUAACCAUGGCAGGGCAAUCAAAUUAAACUGUUUGCUCCCAUUGUUUUAAGCAGUUGAAGUUGCAUUGAAAUUUUCCCUUCAAGUUGGCAUGCAGGGUGAAUCCUUAACGAUAACAAAUUUGCUAGA